CUAAACAUUUACUCAGCAGUUCACACGGAGUGAAAUGCGCCGUGCCAAGAGAAACAGAGCGGCAGAGGUGACCUGCAAGGGGAGAGACGUUGAGUUUGUGCCCUGCUUUGCUCCUCUGGGCUGGAGAAAGGGCUGAAAAGGCGUCACCCCCCACCCCCACCCCUGCUUGUUCUUUACCUUGGAAAUACUAAUGGCUUAGAGGGAUUCAGGUGCAGGCCCUGGGACUAACCUGUCCCUGCCCGGCUAGCUUCAUCCCAUGCAGGAGCUGCUGUAUUCAUGGCACUUCCCAGCGAGGAGCUCCAGCGCUAGGAGCGUCCGAGUCGCACAAAAUGCAGCUCGGCGUUCAUGACCCCUGCCAAAGUGGGUAGCUGCCAGUACAAACCGGCAUCUCCAGUCUCUCUCCAGGCAGAGGAGCAGUAUGUGGCCCCCGCACAAGGCGAUGGAGGAGAUGGGUGUGUGAGGUGGCCACCCUACAUGGCAUAAAUCAGGAGUCACGCCGCUAAGCCGAUCUCUCCACACCUCAUCACUAUGGCACUUCCCUGGCCAGGAGGCUAACGUCAAUUCUAGGGGAGUCAACGCCGCCGUUCCAAGCUCAGGUUCUAACACUUCUACGGAGGCACCCUCACCUGGAGAGACCUGCAUAUAUUGGUUCAGACUGGAUUCUCCAGAGACCAACGGACGAAGAAAGGACUUUUGGAUGAACAGCCUGAGUUUAAACUGACGCCGGGCCUUCUUUUUGAUGCAGCAAAUGGACAGAUCUUUCUGUCCAAGAGGAACCCCCAUCCUGACACCUGCCGGACUUAAGGCUGGAGUAGGGGGUGAUCUCUGCGCUGAAUUCAGAAUCAGGCCUCAUAAGACUACCGGUCCACAGUCCCGGCUCCAUAGCAAAGUCUGCAAGAUCCACAUCGUGCUUCCCCGAGGCCCUGGGGUCAGAGAUGAUACCGUUUUCCUACAAGCUCUCAAAACACUUCACAACCACUUCUUGUAUUGAAUGAAGCUUUGACAACGUGCUCGGGCCGUACAAGGCGCAAAGCUGAGCUGGUCCCUGCCCCAAGGAACGUGCUAUCCAAGAGACAACCCCCGAGGAGACAGGACAUGCUGGGAGAUCCAGGGAGGGUGUUCGCUUUGCGGUUUUCUCUCCUUGGGUGUGCUGAUGUCUUUUGGGCAGUCUCAGAAGAAGUGAGGUUUAUGAGGUCGCUGAAUGAGGGGAAGGUGAGACCUGGUACCUGGGCUUUGAAGGUUAAUCGCAUCUGAAGGGGUCGGGCAACACUUAAGCUAUGUCUACACCACAGAGCUGUGCCGGAUACAUCCCAGUGUAGACAAGGCGUGCACCGACAAAUUUUUCUGUUGAUAUAGGAACACUGCCUCCCUGAACAACAAUUGCUAUGCCAAAUCGGCAGCCCUGCGUCUGCACUGGGCACUUUCUCAGCAUAGCUAUGGUGGCUGGGGGCAGGGGGGGGGGGCGUGUUUCACACCCCUGACUGAUAGAACUAGGCCGGUAUGUUUCAAGUGUAGACCAAGCCUGAAUCUGGCCAGCUUCUGCUGUACAAUUCAACACUAUGGGGUAUACAUAUUGGUCACAUGUUUUAUUCCUAUGUGUCCUUCUAUAGCAGUGGUUUUCAAACUUUUGUACUGGUGACCCCUUCCACACAGCAAGCCUCUGAGUGCCACCCCCCUUAUAAAUUAAAAACACUUUUUAUAUAUUUAACACCAUUACAAAUGCUGG